rnacentral:rRNA from 1 species
UACGUAGGGUGCAAGCGUUAAUCGGAAUUACUGGGCGUAAAGCGUGCGCAGGCGGUGAUGUAAGACAGAUGUGAAAUCCCCCGGGCUCAACCUGGGAACUGCAUUUGUGACUGCAUCGCUGGAGUGCGGCAGAGGGAGGUGGAAUUCCGCGUGUAGCAGUGAAAUGCGUAGAUAUGCGGAGGAACACCGAUGGCGAAGGCAGCCUCCUGGGAUAACACUGACG